AGAAGCGACGCGUUUAGAAUGCUUGGUCUCUGUAUGAGUAAAAACAAAACGUUUCUUCUUAAUAAUUGAUUGUUUGGGCUAGAAAUUGUACAUUCAUGCUCGCAUUUACAGCACCUCUGCAUAUCUCGCUGCUGUUAAUCCGCGUAUGCGCAGUAAACGCCUCUAUUGUCUCCAGCAGCAGCAGCGGCGGCGGCGGCGAGCGAGUGAGUGAGCGCACGGACGGAUCUGCGCGGGCAGGGAGCGGCACACACUGACCCGAAUCUCCAGGCAGACGGAGGGAGGACGAACGGACCUGGACGUGGACACUGGACGGGCAUCAACAGACAAUCAUGGCUGAUAUAUAUAUUAAGUCAUUCCUUUCUGAAUAAGAGAGAAGUACUGCGGAUUGUUGCGCGUGUCAUCGUCUCUGGUGAUUUUGGGCAGCCUGUCCUGUCAGUUGGUAAUAAGGGGAGAGAACGUGUUGCGUUUUUUGCUUUAUUGAAUUACGCGACAUUGUGCCUUUUGGCUUUAUUAUCAGCCUCUUGUUCUCUAGUGAGUUAAGGUGAUUAUAGAGACUUUAAGUCCAUGAUUCGACCAAGAAAAUGGGCUGUUGCGUCUACGAGACACAUCUGUUUUAGUCGGAUUUUAGCGCUUGUUUUGGUCGCUUGUCUGAAGGAGGCUUGAAAAAGCGCCGCAGACAAGCGUAUCGGGGCCGAUCUGUGACACCUAUUCCGCGACACCUCCACUUAAUUUUAGCGGAUACUUUUGGAUGGGGGGCAAGCAGAGUACGGCGGGGCGACCCCGGGGAGCUUUUCCCGGUGUCUCGACAGAUGACAGCGCGGUGCCACCCUCGGCCCACUUCGGACACUACCGGCCAGGUGGCACGAUGGGACUGCGUAGUCGCUCUGUGAGCUCCGUGGCGGGGAUGGGCAUAGAUCACAGCGCCACGGUGCCCUUCGGGUUUUACACCCCCAGAGGAACAGACUCGGACAGAGCCGGAGGGGGGUCUGGCUCCGAUUCAGCCCAUAACGGGAACGGCUACCAGGAAACGGGCGGCGGGCACCACACGGACGGUAUGCUUUACCUGGGAUCCCGCGCGUCACUGGCAGACACUUUGCCCCUGCACAUCGCGCCCCGAUGGUUUAGCGCUCACAGCGGAUUUAAGUGUCCCGUCUGCUCCAAAUUAGUGGCACCCAAUGAGAUGGAAGUUCACUUUAUCAUGUGUCUGAGCAAGCCCCGCCUCUCCUACAAUGAUGACGUGUUGUCAAGAGAUGCUGGAGAGUGUGUAAUAUGUCUCGAUGAGCUACAGCAGGGAGACACAAUCGCUAGACUGCCGUGCCUCUGUAUCUAUCAUAAAAGACUCCUGGUUUGAGAUCAACCGCUCCUGCCCUGAACAUCCUUCAGACUGACCUCAUCUACUGCUACCAUUAAGAAAGGGCACUUUAUGGACCUAAACCAGAAUAUCCUGACACAAAAAUAACCAAAUAAAACUACCAACCAAUUUGAUCAAACCUUGGAAAUGUGUCAUCGCAAAACUGAACCAAAUACAAAGAGUCCAUCCAGCCAACACUGUCAUUACCACUUGCAUCUUGCUAGAGACUGCUAAACUGCUUACUGGCCCCCACGCCGACCAUGAACACUGGAUCUCUCUGGCUUUGGAAAACAUCUAGCUUCUUGCCCCCCUCUACAUAAUCUAUGUUCUUAUAGACAUGCGUGUUCAAGUCUGCAUUCUGGCCCACUCCUCUCUCCUACUAGUUUAUGUUUUCAAAUGGAAGGAGAGGGGAAAGAUGGGGUAGGGCUUAAAAGGGCGGGGCAGAGGCAGCAAACAAGUAGGAAGUAGGCCAUGCUUUGCGACCAGUCCAGAGGCCAUACCUGAUGCUGUUUAGAGGGGCGUUGGCUUCAAAUCGUCCUAUAGAGGACUGUGGAAGGGGGCGGGGUUUGGAUGCAGGCACACACCUAGUUCGUGGAAGGAGUCUGAUGCGUGUUUGAGUGUCGUUUCACUCUUUGGUGAUGUGUUGGGCAACCGGUGGAUGUAGAUGUACUUAUUCUGUGUGUGCAUGUGCGUGUGAACAUUUGUCCAUGGACGGGGAGAAAUGUGUAAAUUGUGUUUCUUGUUAGCGGUGUAGGCAGAUGAAGACAUCAGCACGUGUGUGUUGGGUUGGGGUUUAAAGGGAUAGUUCAUACAAAGAUGAAAAUUUGGUCAUUAUUUAUUCGUCCUCAUGUCAUUUCAAACCUGUAUGACUUUCUUUCUUCCAUGGAAGACAAAAAUAAAUUUUUGAAGAAUAUCCUGGCUGCUCUUUACUAUACACUGAAAGUGAAUGAGGACUGGACCUUAUAAGCUUCAAAAUAGCAAAAAAAGCACCAUAAAAGUAUAAUAAAAGUUGUUUAAAUGACUUAAUCAUAAUUUUCUGAAGUCAUUCUUUAAGUCAUUGUUCAAUGAUAACUGAAUCAUUGAGUCCAGUCUAAUCAUUUAGACUGUUUUUUGAACUAGGUCAACCGAUUCAUUGAAAAGAUCUGACUCAAAAGAACGAUUCAUUCACGAGUCUGACAUCACUACUUCUCCCAUGAACGUGCCAAGGAGAGCUAGGGCGAAUGGCAAGAUUUUCAGCAAAUAACAACAUUAGAUUUUGGUCUAUUUUUUUAAUAAAGCUAUGGUAUCAGAAGACUUCGAAUAUAGCGCAUGAGUCAUCGGACAUUUUUAUGUUACUUUACGGUUCUUUUAUGUCAUUUUGGAACUUGACAGUGUCAGUCUGAAGAAAAAAAGUCAUAUGGGUUUGGAAAUAAUGACAGAAUUUUCAUUUUUGGGUAAACUAGUACUUUAAGGUAAGAAAAGGAGAGAAAUAUACUCUCAUUCUGUCUUUCAAAUGUUUACAAUUCACAGUAGAUGUCUUUCCCUCCACGGAUUCAAACGAAAACAAGCUAAAAGCUAUUUUCCUUAUUUUUCAUCUGCAGAUUUUGGGAAGUUAUUAUGAAACGCUGACCAUAAUAUUCAGACAGUUUCCCUGUAAAAGCCUUGAGUAUGUGUUUGAUGUGUGCGUAUGUGUGUGUGUGUGUGUGAUUUCAAAAGCUUCUGUCCAUCUUCCCAUGUUUUCUCUAUGUGACCGACCAGCUUAUGUCUGGUAAAGCUAAUGUUGCUUCACUACUGUAUGUAAAGCCCAGAUAUACUGGUGUGAAUCUAUUACAAGAUCAUUUCUAUGAUCUACAUUUACUUUUUAUUUUUGAAAAUCUGUGAGAAACCACAUGAAAAAAAAAAAAAACUAUUUAACCUUCAGGAUGCCUCUGUCUACUGUAUAAACAGCAAGCACUGUUAGAAAAUAAUGUUGCUGAAAAAAGAAGAAAAAAGAAAUCAGAACAAAUGAAAAUGUAAGGAGUAAAAUAAAACAAAUAACUGCAAGGAAAAAAACUGACAACUAUUAAUUGUGUGUCGGAUAGAAAUAGAGCAUUUUUGAUGGUCUUUUUUUGCUUUGUGCCUGUAAAUGAGGGCAAACAAACACCAUCCAUCAAAACAGUGGAUAACAAUUUUGCCUCGCCAUGAAAUACAAAUCAAACAAAUGAAGUUGGAUAGUGUAGUACUACACAGCGCAGCUUUGUCUGUGGAAAGUGACUCGGCACUCUCAAAACCCGUCCUUUUCGUUAUUUUUCUUUCGUUCAUUUUUAUUUUUUGUCUGUUCUUUUGUGUUUUUUUUUUUUUUGUUUUGUUUUUUUUCAAAGAAGUGAAUGGAUGCCUGUUAUAGGAGGUACAAACUAACUGUCUGAUGAUUUUGAUGUGCAAUCUGUGGGACGAGUAAUAAUGAUGAUGAUUAUCAUACAUAUAAUUAA